GGAGCCCGAACUCUCACUUUCUAACCCUGUGCAUCUGUUUCUGGUCAGUAGUUCUCUCGGGAGUGAACGCCAUUCACUUAAAACACAAAGUCUAUGAAUGUAUAAAAUUUAUAACAAAACAAAACUUUCAACAACGGAUCUCUUGGCUCUCGCAUCGAUGAAGAACGCAGCGAAAUGCGAUAAGUAAUGUGAAUUGCAGAAUUCAGUGAAUCAUCGAAUCUUUGAACGCACCUUGCGCUCUCUGGUAUUCCGGAGAGCAUGCCUGUUUGAGUGUCAUGAAAUCUUCAACCCUCUCUUUUCUUAAUGAAUCGAGAGGUGCUUGGAUCCUGAGCGCUGCUGGCUUCGGCCUAGCUCGUUCGUAAUGCAUUAGCAUCCGCAAUCGAACUUCGGAUUGACUUGGCGUAAUAGACUAUUCGCUGAGGAUUCUGGUCUCGUACCAGAGCCGGGUUGGGUUAAAGGAAGCUUCUAAUCCUAAAAGUCUAACUUUUGAUUAGAUCUCAAAUCAGGUAGGACUACCCGCUGAACUUAAGCAUAUCAAUAAGCGGAGGAAGGAUCAUUAGUGAAUAUUAGGGCGUCAACUUAACUUGGAGCCGAACUCUCCUUUCUAACCUGUGCAUCUGUUUCUGGUCGUAGCUCUCUGGGGAGUGAACGCAUUCACUUAAAACACAAGUCUAUGAAUGUAUAAAAUUUAUAACAAAACAAA
rnacentral:rRNA from 1 species